UACGUAGGGUGCAAGCGUUGUCCGGAAUCAUUGGGCGUAAAGAGCGUGUAGGCGGCUCGGUAAGUCCGCUGUGAAAGCCCGGGGCUCAACCCCGGGAGGCGGGCGGAUACUGUCGGGCUAGAGUCCGGAAGAGGCGAGUGGAAUUCCUGGUGUAGCGGUGAAAUGCGCAGAUAUCAGGAGGAACACCAAUGGCGAAGGCAGCUCGCUGGGACGGUACUGACGCUGAGACGCGAAAGCGUGGGGAGCAAACAGG
rnacentral:rRNA from 1 species